UACGGAGGGUGCAAGCGUUAUCCGGAUUCACUGGGUUUAAAGGGUGCGUAGGUGGGCAGGUAAGUCAGUGGUGAAAUCUCUAAGCUUAACUUAGAAACUGCCGUUGAUACUAUCUGUCUUGAAUAUAGUGGAGGUGAGCGGAAUAUGUCAUGUAGCGGUGAAAUGCUUAGAUAUGACAUAGAACACCCAUUGCGAAGGCAGCUCGCUACACUAUUAUUGACACUGAGGCACGAAAGCGUGGGGAUCAAACAGG
rnacentral:rRNA from 1 species